rnacentral:rRNA from 1 species
GACGAACGCUGGCGGCGUGCUUAACACAAGCAAGUCGAACGGUAAGGCCCUUCGGGGUACACGAGUGGCGAACAGGUGAGUAACACGUGGGUGAUCUGCCCUGCACUUCGGGAUAAGCCUGGGAAACUGGGUCUAAUACCGGAUAGGACCCUGGGAUGCAUGUCCUGGGGGGGAAAGCUUUUGCGGUGUGGGAUGGGCCCGCUGCCUAUCAGGUUGUUGGUGGGGUGAUGGCCUACCAAGGGGACGAAGGGUAGCCGGCCUGAGAGGGCGACCGGCCACACUGGGACUGAGAUACGGCCCAGACUCCUACGGGAGGCAGCAGUGGGGAAUAUUGCACAAUGGGCGCAAGCCUGAUGCAGCGACGCCGCGUGAGGGAUGACGGCUUUCGGGUUGUAAACCUCUUUCAGCACCGACGAAGCGCAAGUGACGGUAGGUGCAGAAGAAGGACCGGCCAACUACGUGCCAGCCGCCGCCGUAA